CUUCAGAUUCCGCCAUAUAAUGGGACUUCCACACGAGAGGAGUCAGUACCCGUUAAUGGUCAUUCUUGUUAAUCUCCUGUUCAGUGGGAAAUCUUGUGGAGAGCUGGAUGGUGAUGUGACAUGGCUGGGUUAUUAACACUAUCAGAAGACUCGCUGCAGAUCGAAGCAAUGCAAAGACUUAAGUGCAUAAGAUCCAAACCAAAUGAACUACAUGUAAAUGGACGAAAAGUACUUGCCUUCACCAAGGAUUUCUGCAAAUUAUGUAAUUAAUGAUGAUGUUACCCAUCGGAUCCAGUGUCAUGAUAAUUGUUGGAGAAAAUUAAUACGUAAUGACAAUGUCUAAGUGGCUACACGUUAUAUCUUUAUAAAACAUCUGACGUAUUUCUUAUCAUUUUCCAAUCUUAUUAAAAACAGAUCUUUGAUCCGCCCCAAUAUUCUCAUGUCGCUAAUACAAAGUAUUUUGUACUAGCUACAUCCGAAUAUCGAAACAGAU